CCCAGGUCCGGUCACGUGGGAGGGGCAGGACGCGAACACAGGAAUCAUGGCACUCUGGCGGGCAUACCAGCGAGCCCUGACCGUUCACCCGUGGAAAGUACAGGUCCUGACAGCUGGGUCCCUGAUGGGCCUGGGUGACACUAUCUCACAGCAGCUGGUGGAGAAGCGAGGUCUGCGGGGGCACCAGGCUGGCCGGACCCUGAUCAUGGUCUCCCUGGGCUGUGGCUUUGUGGGCCCUGUAGUAGGAGGCUGGUACAGGGUUUUGGACCGCCUCAUCCCCGGUACCACCAAGGUAGAUGCACUAAAGAAGAUGCUGUUGGAUCAGGGGGGCUUCGCCCCAUGUUUUCUGGGCUGUUUCCUCCCACUGGUAGGAGCACUCAAUGGCCUGUCAGCCCAAGACAACUGGGCCAAGCUACGGCGGGACUAUCCUGACGCCCUUGUCACCAACUACUACGUAAGCGCUGACGCCGCAGCUGCCUGUUCUCCUGUUUUCCUGAGUCUGGAAGUGCCCAGGGACGGGGGUCCUCCUCCUGCCAGAGAAACCCCUCAGUUGGGGUGACUCUCUCGUCCCCGGUGUGGGCACCAUACUGAGGGAAGCACUCACCCAGUCGUUCUCCUUGUUCUUGGCUGCAGAAGCUGGAGGAAGACCAGCGAGUCUGGAGGUUGGCUGUUGUCCAGUGUGUCGCGGUCAUCUGGAACUCCUACCUGUCGUGGAAGGCCCACCGGCUCUAGGCCGGCCUCACCCCGGUGUCUGCGCGGGCAGUGCUGCAGCUUGACCCCAGCGCGGUCGCAUGGCCUCCCUGAAGUGGGCACAUCGCUUUUCCUGGGGUUCCGUGGCCACUCAGAACUUAAUGGGCUGAGCACCUGACUCCUUGUGAAUUCAUUACAACCUUUAUAAUGGUCUCAUCCCACCACAUGGUAGGCACUCCAUAAAUACGUAUGGUCUCAUCCACUGUAGCUCACACCCGUAUCCCAGAGCGCCCUCGCCCCCACUCUUCACAGGUACAUCUGCUCUCUAACCUUCCCAGCCCAGCUGGAGCUCUGGCUCUUUGGGGGCCCCAAAGCCUUAUAUGGUGCCUCUGCAGAUCGGUUAUGUAUGUAUGUAGUCUGAAACCUGCUGAGGUGAUGUGGAGGGCCCAGCAGAAACCUGUGGGGCAGUCAGAAUUUCUAGAGCCGGAAAGAAGUCUAGAGACAACCAGUCCUGAUCUUCCUCUACGGAUGAGCACACUGGAGUCCACACAAGUGAGGUGACCUGUCCACACCACCGACCAGUGGCAGAGUGGAAACUGGAACCCACAUGCUAUAGAUAAAUGUUGGUGUCCCCACCAGAAUUCAUCUGUUGAAAACCUAAUGCCCACGGUGAUGGCAUUAGGCGGUGGGGGCCUUCGGAGAUGAUUAGGUCAUGAGGGAUUCGUGCCCUUUUAAAACAGCCUCAGACAGAUCCCUCACCCCUCCCACCAUGUGGGGACACAACGAGAAGGUGCUGUCUAUGAAAGUUAGUGAGUGGCUUCUCACCCAGUACAUCUACCAGCGCCAUGGGCUUGGACCUCCCGGCUUCUAGAACUGUGAGAAAUAAAUAUUUGCUGUUUAUAAGAUA